rnacentral:rRNA from 1 species
AGUGAACGCUGGCGGUAGGCCUAACACAUGCAAGUCGAACGGCAGCACAGUAAGAGCUUGCUCUUACGGGUGGCGAGUGGCGGACGGGUGAGGAAUACAUCGGAAUCUACUUUUUCGUGGGGGAUAACGUAGGGAAACUUACGCUAAUGCCGCAUACGACCUACGGGUGAAAGCAGGGGAUCUUCGGACCUUGCGCGAUUGAAUGAGCCGAUGUCGGAUUAGCUAGUUGGCGGGGUAAAGGCCCACCAAGGCGACGAUCCGUAGCUGGUCUGAGAGGAUGAUCAGCCACACUGGAACUGAGACACGGUCCAGACUCCUACGGGAGGCAGCAGUGGGGAAUAUUGGACAAUGGGCGCAAGCCUGAUCCAGUCAUACCGCGUGGGUGAAGAAGGCCUUCGGGUUGUAAAGCCCUUUUGUUGGGAAAGAAAGGCAGCAGGUUAAUACCCCGCUGUUCUGACGGUACCCAAAGAAUAAGCACCGGCUAACUUCGUG